rnacentral:rRNA from 1 species
UACGUAGGGACCGAGCGUUGUCCGGAUUCAUUGGGCGUAAAGAGCUCUUAGGCUGCUAUUCAAGUCGAACGUGAAAUCUCGGAGCUCAACUCCGAAACUGCGUUCGAUACUGGGUAGCUAGAGUCUGGUAGGGGGAUCUGGAAUUCCUGGUGUAGCGGUGGAAUGCGCAGAUAUCAGGAGGAACACCGGUGGCGAAGGCGGGAUCCUGGGCCAGUACUGACGCUGAGGAGCGAAAGCGUGGGGAGCGAACAGG